ACAUAUUUAUUCUCCUGAUCGGUGGUCAUUGUGACGAUAGGUAUGCGCACACAUUCUCGUAUCACUUCUGUUAUUAAAUGUGUCUGUCACUUAAGACAAUGAAUGGCUCAUACCCCCUUAAGCAAUGGUUUAUACCACCGGAAAAAAAAGGAAAAAAAAAAUGUGGCCUCCCCACUACGACGACACAAGAAAUAUGAAAUUCUACGCUGGAAUGAUGAGCAGCAACGGAGCCAGCUGUGGAAGGAGACGACGACGAGCGCGUGAGCAGUGGCAGAAGCGCGUUGGCACGGUCGGUGCCAACGAGCUAGUACGUGGGUUGUUCGCAGAUGACGGAAAUGCCCUAGCCAUACACAGCUUCGCCGUAAAAAUCGAGACUGUCACGAACUACACUAUAACCCAAGGAACGUGACAAAAAAAGUCAGAAUAGGCUAAACGGCAACAAAGAAAUCAACUCUAGAAACUGAGCAGAAAGGCAAAAAUGAAAAAAAGAAAUCAGUUUUGAGAAAAGGGCUCAAAGUUUCACCUUCAGUUCUCUAAAAGGCACAGCUAUGGCACAGUCUUUGGGGUGUUUUGUGAUGUCGGGCUUCUUGGACAUGCGGCCCCUGGUCUGGUGUGCCUCGCCCCCCCCCCCCCCCCCUCCGUUCUUUUUUUCUGUAUGGCAUUCUUUGCUGCUGCUCCGCAAAGAGCAUGGUGCCUAAGGUUUAAACCAAGUGAUGUACAGAACUCCGUGUGGGCAUGAAUAUAGUUCCAGUGUUGUACUUGCAGGCCACCUCAUUGAUAGAAGUCUCCGGUGCAAAUCAGUGAGGCAUUUUUUUUUUUCUUUGGUAGUCGACCAUGAAUAAAGGCUCUCAGCAGCGUUCCAAGUCAUGUUUCCUUGACAAUGGCUGCAGAACUUAGGAUCGGAGAGCCACCGAUAUAUAUGCAGCUGCUAGGUGCUUUCCAGCUUGUACUUUUGUUUGAUGCCUCUAUCAUUUCUGCAGCCAGGUGUCUGUGCCAGCCCACAAGGGGCCUUGUGAAAAGAGCUCAUGAUGAGGUUCUUUUUACGAAGGGUUGGUAUUAUAGAUAUUGUUACCAGAUAUCGUAUGAUAAGAGAGUCAACGCGUAAUGUGCUUUGUCGCGCAGUUCGAGGUAUACUGACGCGCGAACUGCCUAGCCGCGAGCUCCAGGAGUCUACACUCGGUGUGCUUAGCCGCGCAGUCCAAGGUGCCGACGCGCAUUUGAAAUGCCUAGUCGUGAGCUCCAGGAGUCGACGCUCGGUGUGCUUAGUCGCGCAGUCUGAGGUACCGGUGUGCGAAAUGCCCAGCCGCGGGCUCGAGGAGUCGACACUGCAUGUGCUUAGUCGCGCAGUUCGAGGUGCCGACGCGCGAAAUGCUGAGGGUCCGCGAAGUAGGCUCGCGAUCUGCUUGACCGCCGAGUCGGGAGACGCCCAUGCGCGAAAUGCUUAGCCGCGGCAUAGAGAAAGAAUGGCCGCGGGUCCGAGGAUUGCGUGCGCGAUGUGCUUGGUCGCGAAUUCCGAAACGCAGAGUGCUGAUUAGCCGCGUGCCCGAGGAUUCCACGCGCGAAUCUUGCUCUCAAAGUUUACGUCGCCGAUGCUCGGAAUGCUUAUCGCGUGUCUGAGACGUGCGCAAACGAAGGGAUCAGCUACGCGGACAUACGCGACUGCGAUGUCCGCUUAGCGCCGGUUUUGAUACGUCGUGGGGAACGAGCUUCGCGUUCGAGAAGCAGUUGCAAGACGUGCCCGGCAUCGGCUCCGGGUGAAAUCUCUUCGUGCGAAUCACACGCCCUGGUGCCUCACCUAAUAUGUCGGACGCUUCCUAAAGUGUGGCAGCAAGCAUGACCUGCAAGAUCUUCCUUCCUGCAUCCUGAUCCCCAUUCUCUGUGGGGGGCCAGACCUGAACAUGGGUGCUGGCUCGUGCAAGGCAAUAAAUCCUGCCGCCAAACGACACAGCCAACCGCCCCAAAAGACAAAACUAAGAAGGACUUCCCCCGCUCCACACGACCCUCCCGUCUACCUCUACAUGGGCUUCCAAGGCUUCCAAGACGAACAUCGCGACCUCCCAGGACCCAGAAGUGAAGGCUCUGCGGGAAGAGGGCUGUGACUGUGGUAGUUUCGAAAAGUCGGCUGGAGAGUCUUGCAAGUCGUGCAAGCAGUGCAACUACAGACCUCUAAAAAUAGAAGAUUGGUGCACAUCUCCUGUCACCUUGGGUGAAGGCACCUAGUGUGCUGAAACUGGAUCCUGCAGUUAGACCUGAGUGCCAAGAGGUGCCAAUGGUGAUGCAAGCCAUGUCUGCACCAAUUGGCCAAUUGUGCCUUCCCGAACACUCGCCGCAGGAAUGGCCGCCUAAGAGCUGCGCUCUAAAAAAAUGCAGUGACCUCAUUUGGAAGCCAGUCAUUUCGUCACAAAUGUACUCUUCAAGCAUCAAAAAUAUCCAGGCUGCCCAGACUAAGCAGAGGCUAAAAUUAAGUGCCAGCAACUGAACC